AGGUUAAGUUACAAAGGGCGCACGGUGGAUGCCUUGGCACUAGGAGCCGAUGAAGGACGGAACUAAUACCGAUAUGCUUCGGGGAGCUAUAAGUAAGCUUUGAUCCGGAGAUUUC
rnacentral:rRNA from 1 species